rnacentral:rRNA from 1 species
GACGAACGCUGGCGGCGUGCUUAACACAUGCAAGUCGAACGGAGUGGCGAACGGGUGAGUAACACGUGGGUGACCUGCCCUGCAAUUCGGGAUAAGCCUGGGAAACUGGGUCUAAUUCCGGAUAGUGUGGGAUGGGCCCGCGGCGUAUCAGCUUGUGGGUGGGGUAAUGGCUUACCCAGUCGGCGACGGGUAGCCGGCCUGCGAGGGUGGACGGCCACAGUGGGAUUGGGACACGGCCCAGACUCCUACGGGAGGCAGCGGUGGGGAAUAUUGCACAAUGUGCUGAAGCCUGAUGCAGCGACGCCGCGUGGGGGAUGACGGGCUGCGGGUUGUAAACUCCUUUCACCAUCGACGCGGUAGAUGGAGAAGAAGCACCGGCUAACUACGUGCCAGCAGCCGCGGUAAUAC